AUUAAAGGUAGGUUGUUUACUACUUUCAAUUGACAUCCCACUAACUUCGCGGAAUGCGGAAUGGCGUCAUAUCUUUAUAGGUAGACAUGAAUAUAUUAUCAUCUGAAUCGCCAUUGUUCCGACUUCCACCUCUCCAAGAGUCAGAGGUUGUUUGCUACUUUCAACUGAAACGCAUCUCACCCCGCGGAUUGGCGUCAAUCUAUUUUAAGAAGAUAUGAAUAUUUAAUCUGAAUCACCUUUGUUUCGUCUUCCACCUCUAAAAUAGUCACAGGAAUGGACGUCGUGUACAGCUUUAAGAUGAUUCUUCAUCAACAACAACACCAGGAUGCAUUGAGGACCUGCUGGGUUUUCAGCAUG